rnacentral:rRNA from 1 species
UACGAAGGUGGCAAGCGUUGUUCGGAUUUACUGGGCGUACAGGGAGCGUAGGCGGUUGGAUAAGCCCUCCGUGAAAUCUCCAGGCUUAACCUGGAAAGUGCAGAGGGGACUGUUCAGCUAGAGGAUGGGAGAGGAGCGCGGAAUUCCCGGUGUAGCGGUGAAAUGCGUAGAGAUCGGGAGGAAGGCCGGUGGCGAAGGCGGCUGCCUGGGGUAUUGCUGACGCUGAGGAACGAAGGCCAGGGGAGCGAACGGG